rnacentral:rRNA from 1 species
UGGGGAAUUGUUCGCAAUGGGCGCAAGCCUGACGACGCAACGCCGCGUGGAGGACGAAGAUCUUCGGGUCGUAAACUCCUGUCGAGCGGGAAGAACGCCUCGUGGGUGAAUAACCCGCGGGGGUGACGGUACCGCUAAAGGAAGCCCCGGCUAACUCCGUGCCAGCAGCCGCGGUAAUACGGGGGGGGCAAGCGUUGUUCGGAAUUACUGGGCGUAAAGGGCUCGUAGGCGGCCAACUAAGUCGGAUGUGAAAUCCCCAGGCUCAACUUGGGAACUGCAUCCGAUACUGGAUGGCUUGAAUCCGGGAGAGGGAUGCAGAAUUCCAGGUGUAGCGGUGAAAUGCGUAGAUAUCUGGAGGAAUACCGGUGGCGAAGGCGGCAUCCUGGACCGGCAUUGACGCUGAUGAGCGAAAGCCAGGGGAGCAAACGG